UAACGCGUAGAUAAUCUACCCUCUAGUCCGGGACAACUUCUCGAAAGGGGAGCUAAUACCAGAUAAUACUAGGAAUCGAGUGGUUCUUAGUUGAAAGGUUUACUGCUAGGGGAUGAGUCUGCGUACCAUUAGCUUGUUGGUAGGGUAAUGGCCUACCAAGGCGACGAUGGUUAGCGGGUCUGAGAGGAUGAUCCGCCACACUGGAACUGAGACACGGUCCAGACUCC
rnacentral:rRNA from 1 species